rnacentral:rRNA from 1 species
GGCUCACCAUGGCAAUGAUACGUAGCCGACCUGAGAGGGUAAUCGGCCACAUUGGGACUGAGACACGGCCCAAACUCCUACGGGAGGCAGCAGUAGGGAAUCUUCCACAAUGGACGAAAGUCUGAUGGAGCAACGCCGCGUGAGUGAAGAAGGGUUUCGGCUCGUAAAACUCUGUUGUUAAAGAAGAACAUAUCUGAGAGUAACUGUUCAGGUAUUGACGGUAUUUAACCAGAAAGCCACGGCUAACUACGUGCCAGCAGCCGCGGUAAUACGUAGGUGGCAAGCGUUGUCCGGAUUUAUUGGGCGUAAAGCGAGCGCAGGCGGUUUUUUAAGUCUGAUGUGAAAGCCUUCGGCUCAACCGAAGAAGUGCAU